ACUGAUUUGAAUCGAGACUGGGAGGUUAGAAUUUAUUGUUCUUAUUGUUGCGUCUAUGAGUAAUUGUCAAUUAGUUGAUAUCAGUAAUUUUAUUGUUUUAUUUUUUUCAUACAUUUGUUUAUUUAUUUAUGAAUAAUUGUAACUGUUGUUGGUGAUUCCUAAGUUAUCUGCGGUGAUUUAUUUAUCGAUAAUUGAUAAGAGAAAAUUUAUAUUUUGUUUGGAUUCAAUUUUACUUCUGAGGUUAAAAUUCAAAAUUUUCAAAAGAUGAAUUAAUUUGAAAUUCCGUACAACUGGAAUGUGUUAAUUUCACACUAGAAUGUUGAAUAUUUAAUACUAAUUCAAACAUGGAUCUCUUUUAACACAACUCUACAUACACAUAUAUCUAUAUAUUAUAUAUUUACCGUGGCUUAUUUAAUCUCAUUUCAUGACAACGUAAAAUCCAGCAUUAGUAACGAUUGUAACGGCUAGCAUAGCGCCUUUGGUUACCGCUUUGCUACACCGUCUCAGUCUCGAGGAAUCACGGCAAGCGAUUGGCCGACACGCCAGACCAAUCAGCUCUUACUUCCAUUCAUAAGUUGCGUCGCUCUGCAAGGGAAGUACAGGGAGUAAAGGGGAAAAGAGACCACGUACAAGGGGACACACAAUAUAUACAUACAUAUAUAUACGUCAAUAUAUAUCACUACAUACAACUCAAAGUUACCUCCAUCCUUACCAGCACUUUUGGCCUCCAGCAAGUCAUCCAGCAACUGACCAACGGGGUUCCAUCUCCACCGCGCAGGCUUCAUCCCCAACCACCCUCUCAAGGUUUUAUUCUUAACGAUCCUCCUUUUGAACAAACAGCUAACGGAGUAAAUAAUAAUUUUCCUCAGUACCUUUUAAAAUCCACAUGAAUAUGAAUAUGUAUGGAGGUAAAUCGUUAUUCGUCACGUCACUGAGAAUAAUAUAGAUUUAUUGUAUGACCACUAGUGAAGACUGGAGCUGCUCAAGGGGGGUCUGUAACUCGCGUAUGGGUAAAUGGAACGGAAGGCCCGUAAACGUGGAUGAAAUAUGGUUAUUGCCGAUCGUGUGUCCAUGUCUCUAGUACUAUGUAGUCUUGCCUGGAAAUAUACGCGUUGGUGGCAGAAUAACUACACAUAUAUGUACUUAUGAGAGGGAGAGAGAUCAACUCUUUUAUUACUAAACGCGACGCAUGCAGUAAAGCUUCAUUCUCUCUCUCUUUUAUUCCAACCUUUUUUUUUUCAUAUGCAAUAUAUAUAUAUAUGUACUUACUGGAUAAUAUAUAUUUACCACCUUUACCUGGGUAUUGUCUGUUUUAUGUGUGCAUAUUAAUACACACAGAGCGAGAGCAAUAGAGUUGACGAAGUCUUUGUGAUCACGGCAUUUCCACCGAUACAUCAAUACCAAUGAUCCAGAAGUGUCUUACGUCAUAAGACAUUCACGACAAUAAUUGCUUUCCCAUCAUGUAACUAUUUUAUAUUUAUAUGUAUAUAUAUGUAUGUAUAUGUGUGGAUGUGUACACAGAAAAAAAGUAUUUGGCGCAAGAAAUAUUUUGAAUUAUGAAUUGAAGACUAAAAUUUUCCUGGGGUUAAAACCCGAUCAGAUAUUUCCUUAUGCGGUUAAAUGUUAGCUUCUGCAGCAGAGUAACGAGACAUUUAAAAAGCAUAAGUAUUUAUCCAUGAUGCCGGGGUGUUAUUCAUUUGGCCGUGGUGUUACAUGAGAAAACCCCAGACCAGAGCUUCCUCUAUAUAUCUACCGUAUAAUUGCUGAAGGUCAUGUGAAAUAUCUGCACUUUGUUUUUAGCAAUCUAAACCGUUUAAAGUCAACAUAAAACUUUAAAACCUAUAUAUAUAAAUAGAUAAUAAAUCGAGUGGUGAUGGCUGAUGCGGAGCUUGAGAGCCAUAGAAUAAACGUUUGAUUUCACAAUCCCAAAGAGAAAGGGAAUCUUGCGCCUUUCGCGCCUUCUCCACGGGGA